GACGAACGCUGGCGGCGUGCCUAAUACAUGCAAGUCGAGCGCAGGAAAUCAUCCGAACCCUUCGGGGGGGACGUUGAUGGAAUGAGCGGCGGACGGGUGAGUAACACGUAAAGAACCUGCCCUCAGGUCUGGGAUAACCACGAGAAAUCGGGGCUAAUACCGGAUGGGUCAUCGGACCGCAUGGUCCGAGGAUGAAAGGCGCUUCGGCGUCGCCUGGGGAUGGCUUUGCGGUGCAUUAGCUAGUUGGUGGGGUAAUGGCCCACCAAGGCGACGAUGCAUAGCCGACCUGAGAGGGUGAUCGGCCACACUGGGACUGAGACACGGCCCAAACUCCUACGGGAGGCAGCAGUAGGGAAUCUUCCACAAUGGACGAAAGUCUGAUGGAGCAACGCCGCGUGAACGAUGAAGGCCUUCGUGUCGUAAAGUUCUGUUGUAAGGGAAGAACAAGUGCCGCAGGCAAUGGCGGCACCUUGACGGUACCUUGCGAGAAAGCCACGGCUAACUACGUGCCAGCAGCCGCCGCGGUAA
rnacentral:rRNA from 1 species